GCUAGUGUAGCUUAAAUAAAGCAUAACACUGAAGAUGUUAAGAUGGAUCCUAGAAAAUCCCACGGGCA
rnacentral:tRNA from 1 species